rnacentral:rRNA from 1 species
UACGGAGGAAAAGGAAACCAACCGGGAUUGCCUUAGUAACGGCGAGUGAAGCGGCAAAAGCUCAAAUUUGAAAUCUAGUACCUUCGGUGCUCGAGUUGUAAUUUGUAGAGGGAUACUUUGGGGCCGUUCCUUGUCUAUGUUCCUUGGAACAGGACGUCAUAGAGGGUGAGAAUCCCGUGUGGCGAGGAGUGCGGUUCUAUGUAAAGUGCCUUCGAAGAGUCGAGUUGUUUGGGAAUGCAGCUCUAAGUGGGUGGUAAAUUCCAUCUAAAGCUAAAUAUUGGCGAGAGACCGAUAGCGAACAAGUACAGUGAUGGAAAGAUGAAAAGAACUUUGAAAAGAGAGUGAAAAAGUACGUGAAAUUGUUGAAAGGGAAGGGCAUUUGAUCAGACAUGGUGUUUUGCGCCCUCUGCUCCUUGUGGGUGGGGGACUCUCGCAGCUCACUGGGCCAACAUCAGUUUUGGUGGUCGGACAAAUCCGUAGGAAUGUAGCUUACCUCGGUAAGUGUUAUAGCCUGCGGGAAUACGGCCAGCCGGGACUGAGGACUGCGAC